GACGAACGCUGGCGGCGUGCUUAACACCUGCAAGUCGAACGGUAAGGCCCUUCGAGGUACACGAGUGGCGAACGGGUGAGUAACACGUGGGUGAUCUGCCCUGCACUUCGGGAUAAGCCUGGGAAACUGGGUCUAAUACCGGAUAGGACCACUGCCUGCAUGGGUGGUGGUGGAAAGCUUUUGCGGUGUGGGAUGGGCCCGCGGCCUAUCAGCUUGUUGGUGGGGUGAUGGCCUACCAAGGCGACGACGGGUAGCCGGCCUGAGAGGGUGACCGGCCACACUGGGAUUGAGAUACGGCCCAGACUCCUACGGGAGGCAGCAGUGGGGAAUAUUGCACAAUGGGCGCAAGCCUGAUGCAGCGACGCCGCGUGAGGGAUGACGGCCUUCGGGUUGUAAACCUCUUUCAGCACCGACGAAGCGCAAGUGACGGUAGGUGCAGAAGAAGGACCGGCCAACUACGUGCCAGCCGCCGCCGUAA
rnacentral:rRNA from 1 species